GAAUGUUUUUCUAAUCUCUAAUUCUGAUUCGUCUAAAAUUUGGUAUAUGCGCUAUUUUCAUCUCAUGCCCAGUUCAUUGUUAUCACGUCUUCUGACUUAGUCUGUGAUCUACUGUGAUUUAAUUGAAUUCAACGUUUCGGAUAGAGUUAUCUCAACCCAGCAUAAUAAUGUAAUUUAUAAAUGUUAACUAUAAUUCAUUGGAAUGAUUAAUUGAACUGAAUUAAAUUCUACAAAUAUGGAAAUUGGUGCACAUUAUAUGUAAUAAUUAAGAAAAAUUACGCUUAAGUUCUCAAAUAACCGUUCAUACUCGACGAAUACUGUAUAAAAACUUUAUGUUUUUUAUCUGUGCAAUGAAAAUGUUAAAUUUAUCGUCAAGAAGAACGGAAAACAGCUCAGAAGUGGUACCAUUUAUUGACUGGAUUAAUGUUUAUCUUCAUAAGUUUGAGAAACUUUGUCUCUGGAAUAAGACUUACGAAAGUUUAAUCGCUUGCAUAGUGGUACAUAUAUUAUAUUUUUUUAUUUCUAACAUUGUUGUCUCAUUACUAUCAACUAUCAGUUUGAUUAUUUUGAUUAUUUUUUGCUAUUAUACAAUGACAGAAAGGAUUUACCCUCGAAUUUGUGCCAUGUCAAAAAUGGAUUAUAGGCGAACUAAGUGUCUCGAUGAUUAUCUUAGAUAUUUGAAAAUAAUAAGAAAUCUUUUAAUUAAUUUGAUAAAAAUUCGAUCGGAUUCGCCAGUAUUUUUUUUGGUUCUCAUCCUCACUUAUUUUGCUAUGUUUUCUUCUUUAGGAACAUUAUUUCCUGGUGUUGUUUUUGUAUAUUUGAUUAAUCUCUGUUGUUUAACAGCUCCUAUGAUUUUGAAUGAAAAGUUUACUCUUUUUAAAAACGAAAAAACAAUAGAGUUUGAUUUAUAUUUACCUUGUGAUUCUCCGGAAACUUCAGAAGUAUUAGAAACUGUCAUGGUAACAGAGAGUUCCGUUGUUACUGACUUUUUCAAGGAUGUGGGCGAUUCUUGUCAUUCUUUAUUACCAGAUAAGUUUCCAAGUCAUGAAGAUGAAGAUGAACUCUAUAAAGACGAUGAAUUUCUUCCUACUGUAUAAAAUAAUUUCAGCUGGAUAAAACUUAAAACAUCAUAAAUAUAAUAAUUUGUUAUGAAAUAACACAAUAUGAUAAAAAAAUAUAGAUUUUCUAGUUUCAAAAAAAAAAAUGUUGGAAGUUUAUAAAUUGGUGACUUUAUAAUAUUUAAUAAAUCAAACUUAAUCUGUAUUUCUUUUUGUAUUAAUAUAUUUCUGGACAAUCAUUGUGGAUCUAAAAAAUAACAAUAUAUUCAUAUUAAUAAAAUCUCGCAUAAAUUUUACAUGUAGGAUCGGGCGUGUACUCAUGUAUAUCAUAUACAUAUUUUUGAAAUAAUAAUGAAGUAAAUAAUUAAAUUUAGCUAGCUUUUUGCAUGUAAAAUCGGAGUAUGUGUAGCAAAUGCUCAUCCUGGUAGCCAUCUAGAUAAUCAAUUACUCCUUAUCUCAUUAGUAAUAACGUCUUUCAUUUUUUUCAAAGCUGUUUUAAUUAAUCCUUCAUUCUUGAGAAGAUAACAACUUAGUAUUGAGCAACUGCGUGUGAGUGUGUUCAUGAAAAACAGUUAAGAGUAUCUAACGGAUUUUCAAGGAUCCAGGGAUACCCUCAAGUACUCCGCGCAACACGAGGGCUUGGAACUAUUUUUAGAUACCAGAGGGCUUCCUUGUAUGUAUAUGAUGCUUUGGCGGUGGUUUUUAACUACCCCAACCAAUCCGAGGGUUUUUAACUCGUUUUUGGUGUUAGAGAGGUUCCUUGGAUGAAUUGGCAGUCGUUUUUAACAAUCCGCACUACCCCCGGGACAUUGGCCAAUCCGAGGGCGAAGAGUAUUAACCAUAUUUUAAGAGGCCCUAACCUAUUUAUCCUCCCCCCCCCCUUACCAAUCCUCUGGAUCCAUUUAUUACAAGAUUGGAUUGAAUUUCAGAAAAUGUAAUGAAAUUGUAUUGCAAUAAUAUUACUCACCUUUUAAUGUACUCCCUCGGGGGAUGGAACAAACAAAUAUGUUUAGAUAUUUGUCAUAAAUAAUAUUAAGCAAAUUUAUUAUGUGUUAUUAUUCAUCAUGAAGUAUAUUCAAAAUACGGGCAAUUUUCUUCAUGGCAAUCUUCCACUUGCAAUUUUCCGUGCACGUGGAUUUUAUAUUAAAUCUACAUAAGGAAAAUAAUUUUUAAGCUCUGUACAACAAUAUGUUGCAAAGUUAUUGUGGAUUAUGCAUUUUUAACGUUUUGUGUACCUUGUGUUGAAAUCUGGACCCCUCGCAUAUCCAAACAUGCAUAGGAUCCUAAAUGUGAGGGAUUCAUGCACAUGGUUUUUCUAUUUACAGGGGGCAUUUUUCCCUUCGUGUGGAGGUUUAUUCAAUUUGCUUUCCCUACUUCACGUAGGCUGAUGUUUUACACAUAUGCUUUUUAAGGUAAACAUAUGUUUCACCUUAUAUAUCUAUAUAUAUUCAUUCGAAAGAUAAACGUUCUACAAUUAACACUACCUUUUGUUUUACGCGAAUUUAUAUAAUAGUAAGUUAUACAGUCUACUAUUUAGUCACCUUUUGGGAUUGAGAGAGGCUCGGAUCUUUUCAAAGUCAUUAUUUACUAAGAUUUAACAUGGGUCCUUCGACCAACCUUGAACAGAAAUUUUUAUGAUGGUUCCUCAUCAAUUUCAUAGCUUAAAUUUUCAAGUUUGAGUUGAAUGGUCUUCUGAUCAUCAAAUCAUUCUUCAUAUUUUAUAUACUUUUGUGUUCCUUUGAACAAAAGAUUCAUUGGAGGAAUGGGGGAGGAGGCAUCGUAUUCAUUUUUCAAUUUUGAGGUAUUUCGGCUCACUGACAAUGGCAUUCAUAUUGUUGAAUAUAUUCUCCCUAUAAGUUCGGGUGGCUAUAAAAAGAGCGAAUUCCCAAUCUUGAUACCACUGACUAGGUGGCAACAGCAAACAAUUUUGCUAUAGCUGACACAAUUAAGAUUUAUUGCGAACUAUGCUCAAACAAUAAUGAAAUUACAAGAUGUCCAGAAGCGUUAGGAAUGAACUAUUCAUUAAAAGAAUGACGGUCUAAAAACAUAUAUAUAAAAUGUUUAAAAGCCAGGAAAAGGGGGCAUAUUUGCAAUAUAAAGUUUAAAUGGUGCCAGAAUAUAUACAAGGCGUAUCAUUCACCGUUAACUUGCACAAAAAAACAAAUUCAGGACCAAACCCUUGAAUUUGAAAACUUUCGGUGAGAUAGAAUUCGAUUAUAAGAGACACUUGAAGAGAAACACAAAUAUUGCAAAGUUAAUAAUUGAUCAAAUCUGGUCGUCGAUAACUAUAGCUAUUACUUCUCAAAGCAAGAAAUCUGGUGAAAAGCAGCCCCAGAGUUAAUUUGAUUUGUAUAAAGUGAAUUAUAUUAAUAAAGAUUAUCUUAGAAAUAUCCAGAAAUCAUAUAUUAAUUAUUCAUAUAAGUUGUUAAUUUAUAUGACAGCUAUCAUUUGGGUAAUUUAUGGGGAUUCACUUAGUGUAAAACAAACAAAUCAAAUUACUUAGACAUUUUCUGUAUGUUCCGGUAUCGAAUGGCAACGUUGUCCCAAUUUGUGAAUAAAUCGGGGAAAAAAGCCGGAGGAAAGACUGUGCUCCUUUUGUAAAAAUGAAAGGGAAAAUUCAGGAGAUCUAUUUUAUUAUUGCAAAUCCGUUACUCAAGAAGGUAUGUGAUUAAUGCACUGAUCCGUGAGGAUAACAGGAUUGAGCCAAAAAAAUCCUAUUUUAAUCCAAGGGCCAAGUAUGGAUUUAAGAUUGAAGCAAUCAUAGCGAAGGUGUUCCUUAUAACGUAUGGCGCGUGGUCUUCCGGGUCACCUAUGCCUAGAAGUUUGGAAGAGCUAUUGAAGAUGCACAUAAGAAUUUUCGGUUUUUUUGACGAGAGAGGAGCAACAGUGGGUUUGGAAUUGUAAAGGAAUAAUUAAUAAUGUUUAUAAGCAUCUUUUCUUUAGAACUGGCUCAUGAUCCUCUCUGGAUCUACAGGUUCUCCUUAUUGUCCAUCAUUUUUUUGUUUUGUUCUUUUUUCGAUUAUCUUAUUCUUUCAUGAGUAGUGAAAAUAAGUCGUCACUGAUCAUCAUCAUCCACUUGUAUCAAUAUUUAAUAAAUAUUCUCUAAAUCAGAUCGAAAACCGGAAAGUCCAAAAGAUAAGGAUAGAUCUCCAACAUUACCAAUUUUAUGUUACAUGGAAGAAGUGAAAAGAUUAUCUAGUUGCUAAUGCUUUAUCUAGAGUACCUGUUGAAGACCCAGAAAAAGAAAAA
rnacentral:misc_RNA from 1 species